GCUGCCAGAGCCUUCUGAGCCUGCGCAGAUACGCUGACCCGGAAGCCGCUGGCUGACUUUAUCGCAGGUCUGUGGGUGUCUGAAUUCCAUUCUGGUAAUAUUUCCAUGUUAUAGAGCUUGGGCUGAAUGCUGAGAAGAAGCCAGAUGAUUAAUUCAUGAACUAACCUUAAUACACUCUGGGGAUGAGACUUGAGCUGGUGCCUCAAAGAGGGAUAAGAUUUGGAAAGUCAGUGUGACUUUGGGCAAGGUACUUCAUCUCAGCUAAGCCUGUUUCCUCAUCUAUAAAGUGGGUAUUAAGUUAACAGUACCUAUUAUAAGCAUUUAUAGGAUUGUUCCAAAAAGUAGAUGUGAUAAUGUGUGGAACAUGCCACGACAGUCCCUGAAGCACAGUAAGUAUCCAGCAGUUCCUAACCAGCAGCAACUGCUGCCCCUGUGUGGGUCUGCUGCACUGCCCCUAGAUUCUGCUUGUAAGGAGACAAGAAGCCCAAAUAGAUACAGUUCAUUAUUUAUGCAGUCAGGAAAAGCAAGAUCAACAUGGUGUCAGUUCCACAUGACUUGUUCCAUAAGACAACAUGAAAACACAGGGUCCAGAUGACAGACAACAUGAAGGAGACUGUUCCAUAGCACAGCUAAGCAGUUUGAUAGCCUGCAGCUAUACCCUAAGUGGGCCAAGUUGGAAAGGCAGGCCCUUGCCUCACCAGACCCAGAGAGGCUCAUGAGAAAUUGCCUUGUGACAGGCUCUGCUCGCAAGAAGUGGCCCUGCGGCAGCUUCUCACGAAGCUGCACAUCUCUUGUUUUCCAGUUGUAGGAAUAAACGGGGGAAUUGCUUCAAAAUUGGAAGAGAAACACCUAUAGCACCUCUCAGGAUUCCACACUACAAAGAUCAACCCAGAUGGGUGUGCUGGCGGUACUGGACAGACCUAGGCUUCCUUGGAAAUCCCAUAUUCUGUCACUAGAGGGCGAAGGCACACAGAAAAACCCACACGGAGCCCAGAUCCAAUCACCAGUCAUCAAGCCUCAGACGACUGGUUUUCGAAGGUACCCACAAGUCCAUUGUAAUACAGUGACAAUUCUAUAUAUUCCUCCUAAAAAGGGCUCUGAAUCUUCUGGUACUACUGACCAAUAUCAUCAAAUGAGCCAGAGGACUCCUGCCAGAACUAGUUGCCAGCUAGCUUUCAAGGCAGCUUUCCCAAGCUAAGCAGAAAAAACGAGGGAAAAUGGGAGUCGCUGAAAGUACACCACUCUGGGUCAUGAGGCUUAUGGACAGUGGCUCAUUUAAUUAAUUUAUUUACUUUUUUAGUUUUAUUUUUUUUUUUUUUGAGACAGAGUCUCACUUUGUUGC